rnacentral:rRNA from 2 species
UAGGGAAUCUUCGGCAAUGGGGGGAACCCUGACCGAGCAACGCCGCGUGAGUGAAGAAGGUUUUCGGAUCGUAAAGCUCUGUUGUUGAGGAAGAACGAGUGUGAGAAUGGAAAGUUCAUGCUGUGACGGUACUUAACCAGAAAGGGACGGCUAACUACGUGCCAGCAGCCGCGGUAAUACGUAGGUCCCGAGCGUUGUCCGGAUUUAUUGGGCGUAAAGCGAGCGCAGGCGGUUAGAAAAGUCUGAAGUGAAAGGCAGUGGCUCAACCAUUGUAGGCUUUGGAAACUGUUUAACUUGAGUGCAGAAGGGGAGAGUGGAAUUCCAUGUGUAGCGGUGAAAUGCGUAGAUAUAUGGAGGAACACCGGUGGCGAAAGCGGCUCUCUGGUCUGUAACUGACGCUGAGGCUCGAAAGCGUGGGGAGCGAACAGG